rnacentral:rRNA from 1 species
GACGGACGCUGGCGGCGUGCUUAACACAUGCAAGUCGAACGGAAAGGCCCUGCUUUUGUGGGGUGCUCGAGUGGCGAACGGGUGAGUAACACGUGAGUAACCUGCCCUUGACUUUGGGAUAACUUCAGGAAACUGGGGCUAAUACCGGAUAGGAGCUCCUGCUGCAUGGUGGGGGUUGGAAAGUUUCGGCGGUUGGGGAUGGACUCGCGGCUUAGCAGCUUGUUGGUGGGGUAGUGGCUUACCAAGGCUUUGACGGGUAGCCGGCCUGAGAGGGUGACCGGCCACAUUGGGACUGAGAUACGGCCCAGACUCCUACGGGAGGCAGCAGUGGGGAAUAUUGCACAAUGGGCGGAAGCCUGAUGCAGCAACGCCGCGUGCGGGAUGACGGCCUUCGGGUUGUAAACCGCUUUCGCCUGUGACGAAGCGUGAGUGACGGUAAUGGGUAAAGAAGCACCGGCUAACUACGU